rnacentral:rRNA from 1 species
UACCAGCACCCCGAGUGGUCGGGACGUUUAUUGGGCCUAAAGCAUCCGUAGCCGGCCUUACAAGUCCUCCGUUAAAUCCAGCUGCUUAACAGAUGGGCUGCGGAGGAUACUAUAAGACUAGGAGGCAGGAGAGGCAAGCGGUACUCAGUGGGUAGGGGUAAAAUCCGUAGAUCUACGAAGGAACGCCAAAAGCGAAGGCAGCUCUCUGGGUCCCCACCGACGCUGGGGUGCGAAAGCAUGGGGAGCGAACAGG